AGCUUUGCGCAGUGGCAGUAUCGUAGCCAAUGAGGUUUAUCCGAGGCGCGAUUAUUGCUAAUUGAAAUUAUUUUUGUGAAUGGUAUAAGAAAGUGGUUUAGUUUCAUUCUUUUGCGUGUUGCUGUCCAGUUUUCCCAAC